rnacentral:rRNA from 1 species
UACGUAGGGUGCAAGCGUUAAUCGGAAUUACUGGGCGUAAAGCGCUUGUAGGCGGUCCACCAAGUUUGGGGUGACAGUUGCCGACUUAAUCGGCAAAGUGCCUCAAAGACUGGCGGACUUGAGGGCCACAGAGGGACAUGGAACUCCAGGUGUAGUGGUGAAAUGCGUAGAUAUCUGGAAGAACACCAAAGGCGAAGGCAGUGUCCUGGGUGGUCGCUGACGCUGAGAGGCGAAAGCCAGGGGAGCGAACGGG